rnacentral:rRNA from 1 species
UACGUAGGUGGCAAGCGUUGUCCGGAUUUACUGGGUGUAAAGGGCGUGCAGCCGGAGAGACAAGUCAGAUGUGAAAUCCACGGGCUCAACUCGUGAACUGCAUUUGAAACUGUUUCCCUUGGGUGUCGGAGAGGUAAUCGGAAUUCCUUGUGUAGCGGUGAAAUGCGUAGAUAUAAGGAAGAACACCAGUGGCGAAGGCGGAUUACUGGACGAUAACUGACGGUGAGGCGCGAAAGCGUGGGGAGCAAACAGG